AAAUGUAAAAGCUCAUAAUUUGUUCUAGGUAUCGAGAUAACGUUCUAUUUACAUAGCCGAUUUGAAAAUAGCCUUUACCUCGUCAUGUGUAGGCUGAAUAGGGUUAGUAGCACCACAAGCAUCCUUCAUAGCGUGGUCAACCAAGACAUCAAAAUCUUUUUCCUUGACACCUAGAUCAACUAGAUGAGGACGAAUUUUAACUUCAAGAACAAGUUGACUGAUGCGGUCAAGAGCUGCUUCGGCAGUAUGCUCUUCACAACCCAAGUGAAAAGCAAUAUCACCAAGGCGAGCAUUUGCUCUUGGAUCCCUAGAAUUAAAUUUCUGUACAUGGGCAAGAAGAACAGCGUUACAGACGCCAUGUGGAAUACCGUAGAAACCACCAAGUUGAUGAGCCAUAGCAUGAACAUAACCCAAAGAUGCGUUGUUAAAUGCCAUACCACCAAGGAAUUCGGCAUAAGCCAUAUUGUCUCUAGCCUCUUCGUCCUUGCCGUUGUCGACAGCACGCUUCAAAUACUUAUUAACGAGUUCGAUGCAUUUGACAGCACAAGCAUCGGUGAUGGGAUUAGCAGCAGUAGAGACGUAAGCUUCAACAGCAUGAGUCAAAGCGUCCAUACCAGUAGCAGCGGUCAAGGAAGGAGGUAAUCCAUACAUUGUUUCAGGAUCGUUAACGGAAAGGAUAGGCAUAGUAUGCUUAUCGAU